UCAAAUGGCUCGUGAAUCAGAUUUUACUGAAUCCUCGACAAGAAUCGGUUUCUUUUAAAAAAGACUAUUCACUACUGUGUAUGCAGAUAAUAAAUCCAUCUCAAAGUCAUUUCUCCUUGAGGACCAACAAUCUAAUGGGCUGCACGUUUAAUCAAGGUAAAUGCUUCAAUCCCGUAUGAAUUCUUGAUGCCAUAGAGAGAUAGAAGACAUCUAACGAAAACACAAACUAAAUAAUUUUCAAGUGUCAAGUUGCUUAGCCAGUCUCGGGAGGAGGAUUUUUAGUAGUACUUAUCAUUGGUUGAAUAAGUAGUGGAUUUUGCCUUGCUCAAGGGCACCGAAGUCGUGAUAUUGCCGGCCCGAGACUCGAAACUACAACCCUAGGGUUAGAAGUCAUACUGUCUAACCAUUAGGCCACAACUUCCCACAAUAUUUUAUACUUAAUAUAGUUUGCUAUCAUCCAAUACAUUGAGGAAACUCGUCCAGAGCCAGGCCUCUGCCUGCAGACCCAAAGCAGCGGGCCCAUGUCCGCAUCAUCUGUGACAUCAUCCCGUCUGGGACCCAGCCCCUCCAGGUUCAACAUGAAAUGUGCUUACAGAAUGUGUUGUGUGAUUCAGAAAAUUGGAGCAGAGAAGGUACAGUGUCCUCAACAUUUCAUCAACUGAGGAUUCGAGGACAUCUAUGAACAAGAGAGGAGCUGUACAUACCAGUGACUUAAAGGAAGAUGUGUGAGUGCAAUGUGAAACAUACAAAGUGGACAAAAAUGCAAAUGUGAAAACAGGUAAAGUACGUGCAAAAUAAGA